rnacentral:rRNA from 1 species
CCGGUUGAUCCUGCCGGAGGCCACUGCUAUGGGAGUCCGACUAAGCCAUGCGAGUCUGGGGGGCUUUUGCCCACCGGCGGACGGCUCAGUAACACGUGGACAACCUACCCUCGGGAGGGGGAUAACCCUGGGAAACUGGGGCUAAACCCCCAUAGGGCAUGGGUGCUGGAAGGCCCCGUGUCCGAAAUUCCGAAAGGAGCCCGAGGAUGGGUCUGCGGCCUAUCAGGUUGUAGUGGGGGUAACGGCCCCACUAGCCUACGACGGGUACGGGCCCUGGGAGGGGGAGCCCGGAGAUGGACUCUGAGACAAGAGUCCAGGCCCUACGGGGCGCAGCAGGCGCGAAACCUCCGCAAUGCUCGAAAGAGCGACGGGGGGACUCCCAGUGCCUACGCUUUGCGUAGGCUGUUCCCGAGCCUAAAAAGCUCGGGGAGUAAGGGCUGGGUAAGACGGGUGCCAUCUGUAACGGCAGUUAAAGAUUUGGCUUGCCGUUGCAAGGCAUAAGCCGCCGCGGUAAUACCCGCAGCCCGAGUGGUGGCCACUUUUAUUGGGCUUAAAGCGUCCGUAGCCGGCCCGGUAAAUGCCUGGGUAAAUCGUGGGGCCCAACCUCACGAAUUCCGGGCAGACUGCCGGGCUAGGGACCGGAGGAGGGAGAGGGUACUCCAGGGGUAGGGGUGAAAUCCUGUAAUCCCUGGAGGACCACCGGUGGCGAAGGCGCUCUCCUAGGACGGGUCCGACGGUGAGGGACGAAAGCCAGGGGAGCGAACCGGAUUAGAUACCCGGGUAGUCCUGGCCGUAAACGAUGUGGGCUUGGUAUUGGGGCGGCUACGAGCUGUCCCAGUGUCGUAGGGAAACCGUUAAGCCCACCGCCUGGGGAGUACGGUCGCAAGGCUGAAACUUAAAGGAAUUGGCGGGGGAGCACUGCAACGGAAGGAGCGUGCGGUUUAAUUGGAUUCAACGCCGGAAAGCUUACCGGGGGAGACUCCCAGAUGUGGGCCAGGCUGAAGACCUUGCCCGACUAAUAGGGAGAGAGGUGGUGCAUGGCCGCCGUCAGCUCGUACCGUAGGGCGUUCUGUUAAGUCAGGUAACGAGCGAGACCCCCGCCCCUAGUUGCUAUCUGUUCCUCCGGGGACAGAGCACACUAGGGGGACUGCCGGCGAUAAGCUGGAGGAAGGAGGGGGCAACGGUAGGUCAGUAUGCCCUGAAUCCCCCGGGCUACACGCGCGCUACAAAGGCCGGGACAAUGGGUUGCGACCCCGAAAGGGGGAGCUAACCCCUAAACCCGGUCGUAGUUCGGACCGAGGGCUGAAACCUGCCCUCGUGAAGGUGGAUUCCGUAGUAAUCGCGGGUCAACAUCCCGCGGUGAAUAUGCCCCUGCUCCUUGCACACACCGCCCGU